rnacentral:rRNA from 1 species
AGUGAACGCUGGCGGCAGGCCUAACACAUGCAAGUCGAACGGCAGCACAGUAAGAGCUUGCUCUUACGGGUGGCGAGUGGCGGAUGGGUGAGGAAUACAUCGGAAUCUACUUUUUCGUGGGGGAUAACGUAGGGAAACUUACGCUAAUACCGCAUACGACCUACGGGUGAAAGCAGGGGAUCUUCGGACCUUGCGCGAUUGAAUGAGCCGAUGUCGGAUUAGCUAGUUGGCGGGGUAAAGGCCCACCAAGGCGACGAUCCGUAGCUGGUCUGAGAGGAGGAUCAGCCACACUGGAACUGAGACACGGUCCAGACUCCUACGGGAGGCAGCAGUGGGGAAUAUUGGACAAUGGGCGCAAGCCUGAUCCAGCCAUACCGCGUGGGUGAAGAAGGCCUUCGGGUUGUAAAGCCCUUUUGUUGGGAAAGAAAAGCAGCAGGUUAAUACCCCGCUGUUCUGACGGUACCCAAAGAAUAAGCACCGGCUAACUUCGUG